UUACUCGACGACGGUUGAGUAAAGGGAAUGACUGAAUAAUCCUCUGACAUUGGGGAUAAGGUGCUGCUGCGUUGCUAUAUGCGAAGACCAAACGCUAGGGGGUAACGUGGUAGACUAAGGGCUACACUGAACUGUACCGUGUCACUGUCCUUAUGUGAGUAAUGCAGAAAUCUCACUUCCCACUAA
rnacentral:ncRNA from 1 species